GACGAACGCUGGCGGCGUGCUUAACACAUGCAAGUCGAACGAGGUCCACUGCGGAGCAAUCCAAGGGAAGACCUAGUGGCGAACGGGUGCGUAACACGUGAGGAACUUGUCCCGGUCUCUGGGAUAACAGUUGGAAACGACUGCUAAUACCGGAUGACGUCGGAACUCCGCAUGGGGUACUGACGAAAGGGUUACUGGAUCGGGAGAGCCUCGCGGCCUAUCAGCUAGUUGGUGGGGUAACGGCCCACCAAGGCAUCGACGGGUAGCUGGUCUGAGAGGAUGAUCAGCCACACUGGGACUGAGACACGGCCCAGACUCCUACGGGAGGCGGCAGUGGGGAAUCUUGCGCAAUGGGCGAAAGCCUGACGCAGCAACGCCGCGUGCGGGAAGAAGGCUCUCGGGUUGUAAACCGCUUUCAGCAGGAACGAAAAUGACGGUACUUGCAGAAGAAGGUGCGGCCAACUACGUGCCAGCAGCCGCGGUAAU
rnacentral:rRNA from 1 species